CCCAGCAAUCUAAAACUCACUCCUUGGCUUUGUGUACUCCUCCUCCUCUUCUUCCGCCAAUAUGGAACAAAACUCAGAUCUGCACUGGUCCAGACGUGGGAUUGGCUGUCUCUGUUUUGUUCCUGUAUUCCUCCUUCUGUUGUUGCUUUCCCUCUGAGGUUGACUGUCAUUAGCUACAGAGAGAGCUGCAGGAUGAGGGGAGGAGGUGGGGGAUGGCAGGUAUGUUCGGAGACUGAGGAUGAUGAUGAUGGCCCUCAGGCUUGAUUUUGCAUUUAGCUGACGCUUUCAGAGGGGGAGAGGAUGCAAUGCCUUGCAGAAAGAUGAUUUUGCAGUCCAUGUGAACUUGUGGCUUGCUGAGGACAGGAGAGUGAGAUGUGUUCAUCAAGGUUUCCGUGCGACACUUGUUGUAUGCCAGGAGGCACAGCGGUCACAGGGGGUGCAGGGGCACAGAUGGCAGCGCAGGUGUGGAGAUGCCACUACAUCAAGCACAGUCAUCAACCCCAUCUAAACACACUCUGGUGUGCGGCCAUUUCCACACACACACACACACACACACACACACACACACACACACACACACACACACACACACACACACAUUUUAUAUCAGAUCAAGUGACUCGUAAGCUAUGACUUUAAAAUCAUUUCUUUAGUCUUUUCUUCCCUACAUCUGACAGGAAGCUGAGCUGUCAGCAGUCCUGUUCUGUUCUGUUAAUAAUUGAACCCAAAGUUGAGUCAGAGUGGCCGUAGUUCUGACACAUUAAACAUUGAUUUUGAGAGUAAAUGCAUCUUUUAUUGUAACAUGUAACAAUCCCCUCUGUCCCACUUUACUUUCACAUCAACACUCUGGAUGACAGCUUUCCCAGAGUAGAGAUUUUUUCGAGCGUUCCUUUUCCAGCAUAUCACUUGUUUGUCAUUUGAACUGGCAAGCAUGGAGGAGUAAACAAAACAAGACAGCCUGAAUGAUACCCUGAAUUGGCGUCGCAUGGGAGAAGUUAGAAUGGAUGUUCGGAAAGUGACAGCUCUCCUGCUUGACACUUAAAUAUUUUGCAUUCUUCUUGGAGUACAUAUGUUUUUUAAACAAUGAAUGAUGUUCCAAUGUCACAGUUUUUGUCAAGGGUGUGCUCUUGUGCAAGAAAACUUUCUUCAGUCUAUCCGUUUCUGCCAAAUCUUUAUUCAUUAUCAUCUACAUAACAAUAAUGAUUGUUAUGAAAUUCUAAUAGGUCUUUAAGUGGUAAUACCUAUAGAAGCUGUGUUGGUCUCAUUUAACAUAUUUUUGACCCUUAACCGAGAUAAUGAGCAAAUGGAGCCCUGUACACUAAUGUGUGUGUACUGAUAGCAGUAACAGCAUUUAUAAACCACUGUACUGGAUUAAUUACCUAAAAGAGUGCUCUUCAUGCCCAAUUCCUAAGAGAACAGGGUGAUUUGAUUCAUAAUGAGGCUUGCUCAUUACAAUGACAAGUCCUCAUGGCUCAUCAGCCUGACUUUGAGAAGGCAAACUCAAGUGCAGAGUUUGCAGCCUUUACUUAAGCUUUUAUCAAUAUCAAAUUAACAAUAAAAGCUAUGAGGUCUUAGAAGUUUAACCUCCUCAUUCGGGGGUGUCAAAUAUUAGUAUUCUGCCACUGACAGUAAUUGACUGUGGAUUUGUUUUGAUUGAGAACUUGUGUGACAACCAGAAAAACAUUGAUAACAUAAUAUGUUGUGUGAAGUGGCAAUGUUUGACUUGAACAAACUGUAUGUAAGUGCCAAACUAAAAUGCAAAGACACUUGAUAUCAUCACUUCUCAUAUUGCAAAGAAAUUAGUAAUAAUAAUCUUAACAGGCA